GACGAACGCUGGCGGCGUGCCUAAUACAUGCAAGUAGAACGCUGAAGAGAGGAGCUUGCUCUUCUUGGAUGAGUUGCGAACGGGUGAGUAACGCGUAGGUAACCUGCCUUGUAGCGGGGGAUAACUAUUGGAAACGAUAGCUAAUACCGCAUAACAAUGGAUGACCCAUGUCAUUUAUUUGAAAGGGGCAAAUGCUCCACUACAAGAUGGACCUGCGUUGUAUUAGCUAGUAGGUGAGGUAACGGCUCACCUAGGCGACGAUACAUAGCCGACCUGAGAGGGUGAUCGGCCACACUGGGACUGAGACACGGCCCAGACUCCUACGGGAGGCAGCAGUAGGGAAUCUUCGGCAAUGGGGGCAACCCUGACCGAGCAACGCCGCGUGAGUGAAGAAGGUUUUCGGAUCGUAAAGCUCUGUUGUAAGUCAAGAACGAGUGUGAGAGUGGAAAGUUCACACUGUGACGGUAGCUUACCAGAAAGGGACGGCUAACUACGUGCCAGCAGCCGCGGUAAUACGUAGGUCCCGAGCGUUGUCCGGAUUUAUUGGGCGUAAAGCGAGCGCAGGCGGUUUGAUAAGUCUGAAGUUAAAGGCUGUGGCUCAACCAUAGUUCGCUUUGGAAACUGUCAAACUUGAGUGCAGAGGGGGAGAGUGGAAUUCCAUGUGUAGCGGUGAAAUGCGUAGAUAUAUGGAGGAACACCGGUGGCGAAAGCGGCUCUCUGGUCUGUAACUGACGCUGAGGCUCGAAAGCGUGGGGAGCGAACAGGAUUAGAUACCCUGGUAGUCCACGCCGUAAACGAUGAGUGCUAGGUGUUGGGUCCUUUCCGGGAUUCAGUGCCGCAGCUAACGCAUUAAGCACUCCGCCUGGGGAGUACGACCGCAAGGUUGAAACUCAAAGGAAUUGACGGGGGCCCGCACAAGCGGUGGAGCAUGUGGUUUAAUUCGAAGCAACGCGAAGAACCUUACCAGGUCUUGACAUCCCGAUGCUAUUUCUAGAGAUAGAAAGUUACUUCGGUACAUCGGUGACAGGUGGUGCAUGGUUGUCGUCAGCUCGUGUCGUGAGAUGUUGGGUUAAGUCCCGCAACGAGCGCAACCCCUAUUGUUAGUUUCCAUCAUUCAGUUGGGCACUCUAGCGAGACUGCCGGUAAUAAACCGGAGGAAGGUGGGGAUGACGUCAAAUCAUCAUGCCCCUUAUGACCUGGGCUACACACGUGCUACAAUGGUUGGUACAACGAGUUGCGAGUCGGUGACGGCAAGCUAAUCUCUUAAAGCCAAUCUCAGUUCGGAUUGUAGGCUGCAACUCGCCUACAUGAAGUCGGAAUCGCUAGUAAUCGCGGAUCAGCACGCCGCGGUGAAUACGUUCCCGGGCCU
rnacentral:rRNA from 1 species